CUCUCCACGCUAAUAAAUUUUUUUCUCCUUAUAUAUAUGACAUUUUGAGGAUAUUUUUUAUGAAAGAUUAGUGGGAAAAUUGAUUUAUUAUAAAAAAUAUAGGAAAAGGCAUCCUAUAUUUUGUUGGUAUAUUUUGAGACAUAGAAUUGUGAAGGAAGGUGGAAUCUUGUAAAAGUCCAAGAUCAUUAGGACUCUUCACCCCACCUCCUUA
rnacentral:lncRNA from 1 species